AUGGCGGCCAAGGUGCUCCAGCUCCGCAGCGCCGAUGGCAAGGUGCUCGUCGCUCCGGCGUGGGACCAUCGCCCGGCCGCCGCCCAAGCCCUCCCGCUGGAGACGCGGGUGCCCUCGCGCGUCCUCGAGAGGGUGCUCCAGUACUGGACCAAGCACAGCCUGGCCAAGGCCACCGGUGAGUCCCGGGACUCCCUCGCCCGCUGGGACGCCGACUUCCAGCGCCGUCUCGAGGAAGACGGCCUCGCCAAGGAGGCCGCCGCAGCCGCCCAAGAACUCCGCCGCCACGGCGUCCACCAUGGAGGGCGUCCCCAUCGCCACGCCGGCACGGGCGCAUCUGGUGUCGCUGCUCCAGCCACCGCUACCCGUGCUGAUCCCGUCCGUGCCUGGUGCCAACUCGUUCACCACCUCAAGGGUGUCGACCACGGAGAACCUAGCCCAGCGCCGACGGCGCCCAUCGCUUUCCAUGCCUCCGAUAUUGCCGUCGCCGCGCGUCCUGGGCCUGCCACCACCUUGCCGGCCGCUGCUGGUGCUCAACCCGUUGGUGUCCGGUGCGCCAUCCGUGCCCGUGGACGCCAGAUGGAUGAAGACGAGGAGUCCGCUUGCCACCACCGCAAGCUCCCGGCUUCCAAGGCUUCCAAGCCUCGCUCUUCGGUCUGCCUGCCUGCCACUGCUGCUGCGCCCGUGAAGAAGGUCUCUCGUCAGGUCGCUUCCAAGGCUUGCUCUUUCGUCGGCUCUACACCACUGCCUGCCCCUGCCACUGCUGUGAAGAAGAUGACUCCAGCAGCUUCAACUCUGCGCGCAAGAAGGGGGAUGGGGGAGCUCAGCUGCAACGUUCCCAAGCAAAACCAAUCGCCAUUGCCUGUCAUUGCUGUUGCAGCACCAAUGAAGCAACCAAUUCCUUGGCUGCGUCCAGUGGUAUUACGCCUUCCCUAG
rnacentral:rRNA from 1 species